GACGAACGCUGGCGGUAUGCUUAACACAUGCAAGUCGAACGAGACGAGAUGGAAGUGCUUGCACGGAAAUCUUAGAAAGUGGCGAACGGGUGAGUAACGCGUGGGUAACCUGCCCUAUGGAAAGGAAUAGCCUCGGGAAACUGGGAGUAAUGCCUUAUAAGAUACAUUUGUCGCAUGGCAGAAGUAUUAAACGCUCCGGUGCCAUAGGAUGGACCCGCGUCCCAUUAGCUAGUUGGUGAGAUAACAGCCCACCAAGGCGACGAUGGGUAACCGGUCUGAGAGGGCGAACGGUCACACUGGAACUGAGACACGGUCCAGACUCCUACGGGAGGCAGCAGUGGGGAAUAUUGCGCAAUGGGGGCAACCCUGACGCAGCAAUACCGCGUGAGUGAAGAAGGUUUUCGGAUCGUAAAGCCCUGUUAUUGGGGAAGAAAAAAGACGGUACCCAAGAAGAAAGUCCCGGCUAACUACGUGCCAGCCGCCGCUGUAA
rnacentral:rRNA from 1 species